UACGGAGGGUGCAAGCGUUAUCCGGAUUUACUGGGUUUAAAGGGUGCGUAGGCGGAUAAGUAAGUCAGUGGUGAAAUCUCCGAGCUUAACUCGGAAACUGCCGUUGAUACUAUUUAUCUUGAAUACCGUGGAGGUGAGCGGAAUAUGUCAUGUAGCGGUGAAAUGCUUAGAUAUGACAUAGAACACCGAUUGCGAAGGCAGCUCACUACGCGGUCAUUGACGCUGAGGCACGAAAGCGUGGGGAUCAAAC
rnacentral:rRNA from 1 species